UGACCUGCCUCGAAUUUGGGAUAACAGUUCGAAAGGACUGCUAAUACCGGAUGUGAUCGCGGAGAUUAGAGGCUCUGUGAUUAAAGGAGAAAUUCGCUUCGAGAGGGGCCUGCGUCCCAUCAGCUAGUUGGUAAGGUAAAGGCUUACCAAGGCGAUGACGGGUAGGGGACCUGAGAGGGUUGGCCCCCCACAAUGGAACUGAAACACGGUCCAUACACCUACGGGUGGCAGCAGUAGGGAAUAUUGCAUAAUGGGCGAAAGCCUGAUGCAGCAACGCCGCGUGUGCGAUGAAGGCCUUCGGGUCGUAAAGCACUUUUGGAGGGGAUGAGGAAGGACAGUACCCUUCGAAUAAGCUUCGGCUAACUACGUG
rnacentral:rRNA from 1 species